rnacentral:rRNA from 1 species
GUACGGGAGGCAGCAGUGGGGAAUCUUCCGCAAUGGGCGAAAGCCUGACGGAGCAACGCCGCGUGAGUGAAGAAGGCCUUCGGGUCGUAAAACUCUGUCUUCAGGGAAGAAAAAAAUGACGGUACCUGAGGAGGAAGCCCCGGCUAACUACGUGCCAGCAGCCGCGGUAAAACGUAGGGGGCGAGCGUUGUCCGGAAUUACUGGGCGUAAAGGGCGCGUAGGCGGUUAUUUAAGUCAGAGGUGAAAACUACCGGCUCAACCGGUAGCCUGCCUUUGAAACUGGAUGACUUGAGGGCAGGAGAGGGGAGUGGAAUUCCCAGUGUAGCGGUGAAAUGCGUAGAUAUUGGGAGGAACACCAGUGGCGAAGGCGGCUCUCUGGCCUGUUUCUGACGCUGAGGCGCGAAAGCGUGGGGAGCAAACGGGAUUAGAUACCCCGGUAGG